rnacentral:rRNA from 1 species
AUUGAACGCUGGCGGCAGGCCUAACACAUGCAAGUCGAGCGGAGCGGCGGACGGGUGAGUAAUGCCUAGGAAUCUGCCUGGUAGUGGGGGAUAACGUCCGGAAACGGGCGCUAAUACCGCAUACUAUCAGAUGAGCCUAGGUCGGAUUAGCUAGUUGGGGGGGUAAAGGCCUACCAAGGCGACGAUCCGUAACUGGUCUGAGCGGAUGAUCAGUCACACCUGAAAAUAGACACGGUCCCGACGCCUAAGGGAGGGCGGAGUGGGGAAUAUUUGGACAUUGGGGAAAGGCUGAACCCGGCCUGCCCGCGUGGUGAAGAAGGGUCUUCGAUUGGAAAACAACUGAAGGUUGGAGGAGUUACCAACAGAAUAAGCACCGGCUAACUUCGUGCCAGCAGCCGCGGUAAUUC